UGCGAUUGAGAUUUACCAAGGAUG
rnacentral:siRNA from 1 species